CAGUCGCCACGGGAAUACGUAGGGUGCGAGCGUUAAUCGGAAUUACUGGGCGUAAAGCGUGCGCAGGCGGCUUUGCAAGACAGAUGUGAAAUCCCCGGGCUCAACCUGGGAACUGCAUUUGUGACUGCAAGGCUAGAGUGCGGCAGAGGGAGAUGGAAUUCCGCGUGUAGCAGUGAAAUGCGUAGAUAUGCGGAGGAACACCGAUGGCGAAGGCAAUCUCCUGGGCCUGCACUGACGCUCAUGCACGAAAGCGUGGGGAGCAAACAGAAUUAGAUACCCGCGUAGUCCCUGUCUCUUAUAC
rnacentral:rRNA from 1 species